AUUGAACGCUGGCGGCAUGCCUUACACAUGCAAGUCGAACGGUAACGGGCCUUCGGGUGCCGACGAGUGGCGCACGGGUGAGUAAUACAUCGGAACGUGCCCGAUCGUGGGGGGUAACGAGGCGAAAGCUUUGCUAAUACCGCAUACGAUCUACGGAUGAAAGCAGGGGACCGCAAGGCCUUGCGCGGACGGAGCGGCCGCUGGCAGAUUAGGUAGUUGGUGGGAUAAAAGCUUACCAAGCCGACGAUCUGUAGCUGGUCUGAGAGGAUGAUCAGCCACACUGGGACUGAGACACGGCCCAGACUCCUACGGGAGGCAGCAGUGGGGAAUUUUGGACAAUGGGCGCAAGCCUGAUCCAGCCAUGUCGCGUGCAGGAUGAAGGCCUUCGGGUUGUAAACUGCUUUUGUACGGAACGAAAAGCCUUCUUUUAAUACAGGAGGGUCAUGACGGUACCGUAAGAAUAAGCACCGGCUAACUACGUG
rnacentral:rRNA from 1 species